AUUGAACGCUGGCGGCAGGCCUAACACAUGCAAGUCGAGCGGAUGAGGAAAGCUUGCUUUUCGAUUCAGCGGCGGACGGGUGAGUAAUGCCUAGGAAUCUGCCUGUUAGUGGGGGAUAACUCGGGGAAACUCGGGCUAAUACCGCAUACGUCCUACGGGAGAAAGUGGGGGAUCUUCGGACCUCACGCUAACAGAUGAGCCUAGGUCGGAUUAGCUAGUAGGUGAGGUAAUGGCUCACCUAGGCGACGAUCCGUAACUGGUCUGAGAGGAUGAUCAGUCACACUGGAACUGAGACACGGUCCGGACUCCUACGGGAGGCAGCAGUGGGGAAUAUUGGACAAUGGGCGAAAGCCUGAUCCAGCCAUGCCGCGUGUGUGAAGAAGGUCUUCGGAUUGUAAAGCACUUUAAGUUGGGAGGAAGGGUAUUCACCUAAUACGUGGGUACUUUGACGUUACCAACAGAAUAAGCACCGGCUAACUCUGUGCCAGCCGCCGCUGUAAGAC
rnacentral:rRNA from 1 species